rnacentral:misc_RNA from 1 species
ACGAAUUUGUUUACUUGAUUUCCGGUCUAAAUCUCCGACGAUUUUCUUUGAUACUGGUUCAGGUUCUAAACUUGGGAUUCAGGAUCUAUGUUGGGUACAAACUGGACCGGAUUCAUGGAUCUUAGCUGCUUUAUGUGGACCUUCGUUGCUUUCUCUGUUUAAUACUUCCACGGGUCGGUGUUUCUUCAAAUAUGAUGCUGCGCCGGAGUAUUUCUCGUGUCUACGUCGUGAUCCGUUUGAUUCGCGGCAUUUUUGUGCCCUAGGACUUAAA